rnacentral:rRNA from 1 species
UACGUAGGGUGCAAGCGUUGUCCGGAAUUAUUGGGCGUAAAGAGCUUGUAGGCGGUUUGUCGCGUCUGCUGUGAAAUUUCGGGGCUCAACCCCGAACUUGCAGUGGGUACGGGCAGACUAGAGUGUGGUAGGGGAGACUGGAAUUCCUGGUGUAGCGGUGAAAUGCGUAGAUAUCGCUUGGAACGCCAAAGGUGAAAACAGGUUGCUGGGGUUGUGCCGACGCUGAGACACGAAAGCCAGGGGAGCAAACGGG